ACUCAAAGGAAUAGACGGGGGCCCGCACAAGCGGUGGAGCAUGUGGUUUAAUUCGAUGCUACGCGAAAAACCUUACCUAGGCUUGACAUCCCGCGCCACCCCGUGAAAGCGGGGGUUCCCUUCGGGGACGCGGAGACAGGUGCUGCAUGGCUGUCGUCAGCUCGUGUUGUGAGAUGUUGGGUUAAGUCCCGCAACGAGCGCAACCCUCGUCACUAGUUACCAGCAUUAAGUUGGGGACUCUAGUGAGACCGCUGGGCUAUAAGCCAGAGGAAGGUGGGGAUGACGUCAAGUCCUCAUGGCCUUUAUGUCUAGGGCAACACACGUGCUACAAUGGGAGGUACAAACCGCCGCGAGCUAGUAAUAGUAAGCUAAUCGUAAAAAACCUCCCUCAGUUCGGAUUGAGGUCUGCAACUCGACCUCAUGAAGCUGGAAUCGCUAGUAAUCGCGGAUCAGCACGCCGCGGUGAAUACGUUCCCGGGCCUUGUACACACCGCCCGU
rnacentral:rRNA from 1 species